rnacentral:lncRNA from 1 species
UAAAAGUCAUAGUUGUCCGCCUUCUUGUCAGUAUUUAAAUCGGUCAAGAACUACUGUGUAUGAAAAUUAGCCGUAAAUGUGUUACAGGAGCGUUUUCGGUUUGUACUUUUUAUUGGCAUGUAAAUAUUGUACUACAAAAAAAUGAUUCGGGGAAAGUGUUUUAAAAUCUGAACGAAUUUGUAACCUUAUGAACUAUUCGUCAACAAUGUUAUUAUCUUUAUUUCAGUUUGUCGACGCUCAGCUAAGAUUUUAAACUCAUAAAGGUGGUACCUAACACUACAGGGAGAUAACUCUGUAAAGUCAGCUUAACGUUUUAAUUACGUUGUGUUGUAAAGGGAAUAUUAAGCUUCUCAAUGAUCAAAAUUUGUGUUUGUCAUACUGCUAUAUAACCAGUGUAAUUUUUCUGACAAAACGGUUGGUUCAAAAUUUUUGAUAUUUUUGUAUUUUUAUUAAAGGGUCAAAGUAAAUACUUUGACAAAAUUUUAUGAAAAUUAAACGAGCCAAAUUAAUUUUAGUGAAAGUGUUGGGUACCACCUUAAGAAACAAUGGAUAAUAGAUGAAUUUGGCUAAUUGUGUUUGAGUUAUUAUUUGGUCUCCCCACAUUUUCUUAUAUUUAAAAUAAGCAGUGCAUAAAUAAUACGACCCGUAAGUACAUAAUACAUACAUUACAUAAUUCAAUUCAACACAUAAUAUUCUGUCACAUUUCAAACAUGUUCUAUUUCAUUUCUAAUCAGAUUCGAAA